rnacentral:lncRNA from 1 species
GUUUUUGAAGCGAGGUGUAUACUUAAAGUGGAUAGAGGUUUUGUGAUGAUUGUGUUGGUUCAGAUGAGUUCUAGGUUCAUCGUACUAGUACUAAGAAUCAUAGGCUAAAGCAUCAGCCGGAGCAGUUACAGUUUCAAGUCCGAAUGGAACUUCCCGCUUCAUUUCCUGUAAUUUCUUAUGAUUCUCCACUUGCAGACAAUGGCACAAGAAGAACUUCAAGUCAUUAUUCUGCUUCUUCUAUUUAUAUAGGAGAAAGGUAGACAACAAACACGGAUGAAAACUAUCCCUGCCCGCCUCUUCUCCUCAUACUUAUUCUAUACUCAACGUUGCUUCUUUAAAAACCACUUUGAUUCUAUUGUGCUAACGUGAGUUCUAUACUUGAGACCUAAGUUAUUGAAUUGAAUGGAGUGCACCUGGGAAGAGCGCUACCAUUUCAUAUUCUCGUUUUUCUCCAAAUAGCAUUCAGAAAGCCUAUGGAGUACCGUACAAAAUGCAACAAUUCCUUUUUUGUGGUUUGUGUAGCGCGGCGAGUUAUGAGCAAGUAAAGCCAGGAAGUCAGAUAGAUGAAUAGCUCCAUUGGUACACUCCCGUUCCAUGCCUACAGCAAUAAACAACAGGACAACUCUCCUUGGGACGAGAUAUGAAGUAGCCCGAGCUCUGCUUACCGAUUAAUAAAUCGAAUGGGCUUUCCCCUUUUCUUCUUUUGCAUUUCUAUAUUCUAUAUGGAAAGUUCUACGAUACGCUCUUUUCUCAUUUCAUUAACAAGUUUCACUACGGGGUUGACAGAAUAUAGCUUAACUACUAAUCGAAAGCUACGGGUACCCAAAAUCCAACAAGUGGAGGGGAAUGGGAUUAUACCACCAUACACUUAAUGAGUUUCCACAGCGUACAGAAAGAAAGGCUUGCUUCGGUUGAGGACUUUUUCGAAAGGCAUUGAACUGCAGGAAUGGCUAGACUGAUUCGAAUGCUUACGGAAUGGACCCCGAGAAGGAAUAGAAUAAUAAGAUACACACCCAAUAGACUAGAAGCAAAGCGAAUGAAAACAACAUAAGCAAAGGCUCUUCGUAAGAACGGAAAAACUCGUUAUUUAACGCCUCCACUGAUUCACCAAUCGCUUCUUUCAAGGCUUCUUAAACCAGGACCGCAUCGAAAAGCGGAUACCCUUGACUUUGUUGAGUAAAGCCAAUAUUUCUCGCCUACUUGCCUCGGCUCACUGAACUGGGUGACUCAACUUUCUUUCGAGAAGACAGUCAAAGCAGAAGACUCACUUUAGGGUGUUGUGAUCCUAGUAGAAGGAGCAGGGGCACUGAGAAAAGAUGCAAUUGAUCCUGCUCCCCCGCUAACUAAGCUCUAGGCAAGCAAGCCUCCGCUCGGAUUACCUGAGUAAGUGUGAGACUCCACCGAUUGAGAGUGACUUCCAGCCGGAGAUUGAAAUGACUUCCUUCCAACAUGUUAAGGGACUCCAGACUUGUAAAAGCGCGUAAAAGCAGCACAGUACCAGCAUCAAAACCUUCCUUCUAAAUAAACUCAUGGGGAGGACAGGACUCCGAAUCCGAUCAAAGGGAAUUGACCGCCCCUAAGAAGAAGGUAAGAAUAUAUCCUGGCUAACUAACAUAUGCCUUGGUGGAAACUGAAACGACUAUGUCAGGACCCUGGGUGAGUAGAUCGCAAAUUGGCCUAAGAGGAAUGACUAGCUAUCAAGCUAUAAGUGCAAAUCCCAGUUCUUACCAUCAUCGAAUGAGCGGUGGAAUAGAAGAAUUGUGAGCUCCUCUGGGAUAUAAGGAAGAGCAGGUCUUUUACUGGUCUUUAAGCUCAUAGGCUUUGAUAGGUAUGAAGUCUUUCUACUGCUAUAAGAGGAGGUGAAGCGGAAUAAACAUGAACUCAUCUUUCUGCCCUUUCUACUGAAUAAACAUGAACUCAUCUUUCUGCCCUUUCUACUGCCUUUCCCGGAUCUAAUGGUAAAGCAUACUAUCUCUUUAGCAGACGAGUAACACCUAUUAAGACAUCCUCCAAACCUUUUCAAGACGGUAAGCCUCCGAGCAACAAGGCGGAAUUGGAUUCUGGAAUUCUACUUCAAUAAAAGAUGAUAUGAUUGAUAUAUGAAAUUAGACAUUAGACAUUAGACCAUCCUUUCCUAAAUAUUGAAAAAAAAGAUAUGUUUCAUUAAAGGAAGGAAUUGUUAUAACAAGAGGAAGCGGCUCUGCCGCGCAACAUUAGUAGUUGCUUGGCGGUUGCUGCCGCCUUCCCGCUCGCUACCGUUUCACUCAACUCCCGAAAGCAUCUAUUGUAAUAACUCGUAAUAUCUAUUACUAUUGCUACCGCCGAGAGCAUCUACGAGGACAGGACUUGUUAAUAACUGGCUAUAACAUAUCUAUGUUGUUGCUGCCGCGCAGCGGCUUGCUUAGUUGCUUGGCCCUUGGCCCGAGUGGCUUGGUCAUUAGUAGUUGCUUGGCGAAUAGCAAAUAUAGACUUUCUUUACUUAUAGCUUAGCUUCCUCUCCUCAAGCGUAUACUACAGACCAAGCUUAGUAGUUUGAAACAGAAGAAUUAGCUAUAUACAGCCAAGUCAGUAUAAGCCCUAAAGCAAGGUAAGCAGUUAGAGCAGAGCCUUUACUAUAAGCUGUAGAACCCAUCCCCUUGAAACUCCCCUUUCCGACCUCAACUCGUCUUUCUUUCUUAUGAGACCCCUAAGGCUCCGCAGUCCUCUUCUCUUUCUCCUCUCCUACUUGCUCCUCUCUGCUAACUUAAUUCGGGAUACCUCGCUUCAAAGCCUCUCUUCUGGCUACAACUACUGUUAUUGCUCUAGUCUACUCCGGACUACUCGUAUACAUGUGUGGGAUGGGAUUCUACACCUAAUGAAGGGGAUGAAACUCUACAACAACGGGCUAGGCUCUGUCAACUAAUUCUUCUUUCUGACCCCGACCAGCUCUAUUCUGCCACUCCAUAGCAUCAGUCUCAGUGGCCCCAGUAUCAGUCUCGGUGGUACUGCUUUGACUCUGAGUCUACUUAGUUUGAUUCUUGCACAGAGGAAACUCAAUUAUGAACCAACUACUUGAGAGAAAGAGGCGCGGGUUAGUUACCCACCUACCCAUUCCAUAUCAACUCCAAACUAGACCUACCCAUUCUAUAUCCACUACCCCAACUAGUUAUUCCGUUUCCUACCGUUACAGGGCAAUGAAUUUUCAAACAUCAACUAUAUUCUUUGUAUGCAGAGUAGCGGUCAGUAGCUUAUUCUAUUACUUAAUGAAUAUUACUUAAUGAAGAGUUGCGGUUGGUUAGCAAUUGUAUUAUGAAAUGAAGGGGAGCUAGGUUAGAUAUAAGGAGGGCAAUUAAUACUUUCUAGUGGAAUUAUUACUGUUUAAAACACAUGGUAGGCUAGAAAGAGCACUGAGUUAGUUACAAAUUCGAUUUCUUAAGGCCCUAGAUAAUACCCUAAUUCGGAAUGAAGCCUUUUUUGUAGAAUUCCUUGUAUGAAGUAGUUGCUUUGAGUGGAAUUCCUUGUAUGAAGUAGUUGCUUCUUGAGUAUUGUAUGAAGUAGUUGCUUCUUGAGUCAUAAAGAGUAGUACUAAGAUCACAGUACUAAGAUCAGGAGCUGGUCACAUUAAUCUAUAUCCCGCGGCAAGAGUGGAAUAUGUAGUUGUGUUGUUGGAGAAGUAGUUAAAGAAUCAGUAGCUGUUGUUCGAGAAUCCGUAUUGGGAGUUGCAAGUAAAGAGUCUUGUUUUAUAGGCUUAAGUAAAAGGUGCUUUUCAACUGUUAACCUGGUAAGAACUUAGGUGAUGAUUGUGCUUGUGGCUAAGGCUUACGCUCCUAGUAGUAGAAUUGAGUCAAGAACUUAUUCAGCGCGGUGAAGUGAAGUGGAUAGAGUGGCGGUGCUCGUUUUUCUUAAGAAGCCGUUCUUUAGUUCUUCUCAAGCAGAUCAUUAGCAGUUCUCAAGUCGUCUGCAAGCAAUAUCUAAAGCAACGGAUCUGAGGCGAAAGUAAGAUAAGAAGCGAAUCCUGAUAUCAUGCAAGCGAAGCGGGUAAGGUAGUAUUGUAUAGAUUUAUUGGUCAGAAUAAGCUGGAUCUGUAUCAUCCGCCAAAGAAGGAGAAGAAUUGGAAUUAGACUCAACAAACCCUAACUCCACUUGAGCACUAAACUUUACCUCGAACAGCAUUAGCUCCAGCAGUUGAUCAUUCUGCCUUAAAUUAUUGAUACUCUGCACUUUGGCACGGAUUCUUCUCUCUCUCGAACCCGAUACUAUACUUUCAACAAAACUGUAUACUGGACCUCUAACUAUCACCAAGUCCUGUGUUUGGCGUUCGUCGUCAGUCAUCAGUGUUAGAGAACUGCAAGCAAUGACUCUCUCCCUCUCGCUUGAGUAAGGAAGCAAAGCAUUGAUGUUAGGUUAGCUUACGUGGCUUGGACUCUAUUAUUUGGGGGGAAAGCUGGUGGCUCCCUUUCUCGCUUCCAAGAGCCGACUUCUACUUUUUAUCACAUAAUGGGCACGCAAGCAGCAUCACAAAUUCCCAUAGAAGCCAAUCAGUCGGGCAGGGGAGGCGGCGGUGCAAAAGCUUCCCACGGCAAGCAGCUUCAAAAGCAGGCGGAGAGUGGAUUCUGGACUCUUGUCUAUAAGGGGACUAGCUUGCAGUCUUGUAUGAUGUAGGCUGUAUAUAAAUUGGAGUAAUGGCCUCGGGCGAGCCUAGAUCCCGAAGAGCCUCCAAAAUACAUCCAACUGUCUACAUCCUCACCCGUUCUUUUUCUCAUCCAACUGUCUACAUCCUCACCUGUUCUUUUUCUCAUCAAACGUCUGCUUGUUGAGUUUUGCAGUUCGGUUACUUGAUUCAAAGAAAAGAGCCACGCUAACACUUUCUGACUUAAGCCACGCUAACACACUUUCUUACUUAAGCCAAGCAAGUUCUUUCAUGAUCUGGUUGUGGGCUUUCGUAGAUACUUUCUGGAUUAUUCCUCUGCCUGCCUUUGAAGUAUCUAGUGCUGCUCCUGGCAUCGAUGAUCAAUACAGAGCUAGUGGGGCUCCUGACACCGAUGAUCCAUACAGAACGAAUUGGUCAAUUAUAUCAAUACCAUCAACAAAUAUUAACUCUGAGUCAUAACUCUCAUUCUUAUCUAAUAACUCUAAUUCUUAUCUAUAUGUAGGAAUGGGCAACUUUCGUUCUGUGCCGAACCUUAGUCGUCUCUUGGCUUAACUUCGUGAGUCUUAGAUUAGAGCAGAGGAUUCUUUGAAGGGCAUAAAGAAGGGUUAGAGGUAAGUGUGUGCUUAGGGUUCGAUAAGUAAACAAGCAAACAACUAGCCUAGCCCGAAAGAUAGGAUUUCUUAGAUUCCUACUCUCUUGUCUCAAACUUACAUUACUGCCUUUACUCUUCCACACUACUAAUUGAAAGCCUGCGACUACCAGCUCUAAGACGGAAAGUAUCAAUACAAAGAAAUCAACUCAAACUACCAAACUACCUACUAUAGGAAGAUAACUCAUAAGCCGGAGUCAAACUCUCGGACAAGCAAUGGAAUCUAUUAAUUAACCUAGCGCUUCUUAGACCUCCCCUACCAACUAGUAAUUGAACCACUGCGAACUGGAAUCUCUCUACCGGCAAACAGGCCAACUAUCCUUUGGUGAAAUCUGAUUCGCCUGCCCAUAAUAGUCCACCUGCCUCGCUUUGAGUCUGACUGCCCUAACUCCUACUCUUUACUACCAUGUCGAUCAGUCUACCUUGGCAUACUUUCAACCUGCUUCGUGAGUAAGGACAGCUUCUAGGUCAGCAGCUAGAGAAUCCAAAAAGCAUAAGUAGACUAAGAAAAGGGAACGGCAGGCUAACAUCAAAAGAGCAUAGGAUCCACAUCAGUUGUUAAGCAAUCAAAGCCAGGAGCGUAAGAGCUGAACCCUAGUUUGUGUGGGCAAUAUUGGAGAAUGCGAUAAAGCUACUACAGUCUUAAGAUAAAUAAGGGUAAGACUAGGUGUUGAUAGGCACAAAAAUAGGGAGGCUUUCAGCACCUUAGAUCGGUACCUCGAUUCUUGUAUGCCCUAUUGUGGAAUUACCCUAGAAGUGCCAGUACCCUAUUUGUCUUCGGGAACUACUAUUACUAGCCCUAAUCCAACCACCGGUACCGAGGUGACCUUAAAGCUGACUUUGCUUGUUUUGACUCUUCAGCCACUAACUGUAGGGAUCGAACACUGCCCAGCAACAAUAGAAUCACUAUCUUAUCUAACAAGCUAUAAACAGUGCUUCCCAUGCUUUCAGUCUAUAACAAGUACUUAUGAUCCUUUGACUUCCUAAGAGGCCCAGACAGAUUAUAUCCACUUUUGUAGCCGUAACCCGCUCUGAGAUCUGUUUGUUCUCCUUAUCUCUUACUCUUGUUCCCCACUAGCUGGUAUAGCAUAGUUUUCCCUUAUUGGUAAAGGAUAGUUCAAGCCCAACUCCCAUCCCAAGUCUGCUUACCUAUUUCCUGCCCUUAUAGCAGCCUUUCAAGGAGAUGUCUGUUGGGUAAUUAAUUGUACGCUGGACAAGGGAAUGCUUUAAUGACUUGAAUGACUUGGGUUGGAAUAUGUUAGGUACAUGUCCGCUUCUUCAACAAAGUACCCGACUGCUGAUGUGCUUUCCCGUCCAACAAGACCUUUAUUGCCUCUGAGGCCAAGGGAUGAUCUCUUCUUCUUUUCUCUUUAGACUAUUGGCACGAAACCGAGACGGACGCUCACAUUGUAACCAUCUUUGCCAUCCAACUUUGACUCGUCCUGAUUUAAGUAAACUGGGCAUCUCUAUUUAUGCAUGCUUCUCGAUGAACCGCCUAUAUUAUCAGUAAGCUUGCCGUUCCCUCUCUACCUGCUUUCUCUCGAGAGCAUGGAGCUUGCGUUCUGAGUUUCCAAAUCUCCCAUCUGAAACGCAAGGGUCCGAAGGAGCUCUUCCCGGCCUUCUGUCGAGUACCAAAUUGACUAUUCCUUCAAUCUGGGAUAUGCUACCUAAACUUUCUUAGGGCGAUCGAGUGCGGACUUUGCUCACCUUUGCGUCUGCUGCUUAGUCUUCUUUUGAGUUAGCAUCUGGUAACCUCGCAUAACCUUGUUAGCCUUCUUUCCCUUCGAACUUCACUAUCCGCUUAUUGGGAAUCCCUGAUCCAUGCAAAAGGUGAAAUCUCUGUAGUACCAAACUAUCCCUAUUCGGUGCUUCAAAAGCUGGUGACCUCCUAUCUGUCUUAGCCGAGCUAGCUUUGUGUUAUUCCCUUCGAUCCGCUUAGUCUCUUCUUUCCUCUACCGUUGGUCGAGCGUCUUCAAACCUAUACCAGUCCCGGACUCAUUGAGUCUUGUUUCAGAAUAGCUCCUCUUUACUUCCAUACUAGACUAGCAAGUACUAUAAGGGGGUUCCCUUUCCACCUUGAAACUGAACCAACAACUCGACACCCAUUAGAAACGAGUCCUUUGUUCGCCGAGCAGACAAGCAACGGGACAAGUAACAACUAGUGCUGCAUAUAGAGAAAUGAAACCUCACACUUGACUCACUCAAUUGAAAGAAAGGCUUUCCGCACCUUGUGCUAACGCGAAUGACUAUAAGUAGGCGGGGCGCAUUAGUUGACAUUUGUGUCUAUCUCUUCUACUUCCAUAAGCAUAAGUCAGAAAGUCACUGAACACCUUUUAUUCCGCGUGGGUUGUGUAUUGAAUACGUGUCUCUUGACUCUUAAGUGCUUGACUUAUUUCGUAGAUAGAAGCUCUUUUCUCAUGCUGAGGUUAAGGCUAGAGGCUCAUCUCCUCAUGCCCACUACAUAGAAAAGAAUCCUCUCUAUAAGGGCGGAGGCUCCGUCUUCAGUCAGCGGUCAAAAGAUAGAUGAGUUUACAGCGCGGUGUCAAUCAGUUUAGGGAGGUUCGCGGCGGUAACGGAAUCAGCGCAAGUCAGCAGCAGGGACGGGAGUAGUUGAAGAAGCCUCUGAGAAUUAUUCCAUUCAAGUUCACCUUGGCGCAACAAGACUAAGGGUGUUACAGUUAGGGUCAGUGAGGUAAAGAACGUUCAAGCCCCGAGUAGUGUCCUUCUCCUUCUGUCUGAAGCGAGGUGUAUACUUAAAGUGGAUAGAGUGAAAGGCUAAGCCCGAGCCGAGUGUCGGUGUUCUAGCUCCAAGUCAAGCUCGGGUUACAGUCUUGUAAGGCCAAUACAUCUUGUGCUUAAGGGCGAAAAUCUUUUACUGGUUUCCUAGGUGCAAGAGAAGACCUUGUUUGCGAGAUGAGCUACCCCUAUAUUCUCUAUGGGAUGUGGG